UACGGAGGAUCCAAGCGUUAUCCGGAUUUAUUGGGUUUAAAGGGUGCGCAGGCGGUCUGUUAAGUCAGCGGUCAAAGCCCGGGGCUCAACCCCGGCGAGCCGUUGAAACUGGCUGUCUUGAGAUGUCGAGAGGUAUGCGGAAUGCGCGGUGUAGCGGUGAAAUGCAUAGAUAUCGCGCAGAACUCCGAUUGCGAAGGCAGCAUGCCGGCUCCACACUGACGCUGAGGCACGAAAGCGUGGGUAUCGAACAGG
rnacentral:rRNA from 1 species